rnacentral:rRNA from 1 species
GACGAACGCGGCGGCGUGCCUAAUACAUGCAAGUCGAACGCUUCUUUCCUCCCGAGUGCUUGCGCUCAAUUGGAAAGAGGAGUGGCGGACGGGUGAGUAACACGUGGGUAACCUACCCAUCAGAGGGGGAUAACACUUGGAAACAGGUGCUAAUACCGCAUAACAGUUUAUGCCGCAUGGCAUAAGAGUGAAAAGGCGCUUUUCGGGUGUCGCUGAUGGAUGGACCCGCGGUGCAUUAGCUAGUUGGUGAGGUAACGGCUCACCAAGGCCACGAUGCAUAGCCGACCUGAGAGGGUGAUCGGCCACACUGGGACUGAGACACGGCCCAGACUCCUACGGGAGGCAGCAGUAGGGAAUUCUUUCGGCAAUGGACGAAAGUUUGACCGAG